GAGUUUGAUCUUGGCUCAGAUUGAACGCUGGCGGCAUGCCUUACACAUGCAAGUCGAACGGCAGCACGGGAGCUUGCUCCUGGUGGCGAGUGGCGAACGGGUGAGUAAUGCAUCGGAACGUAUCCUGGAGUGGGGGAUAACGUAGCGAAAGUUACGCUAAUACCGCAUAUUCUGUGAGCAGGAAAGCGGGGGACCUUCGGGCCUCGCGCUCUUGGAGCGGCCGAUGUCGGAUUAGCUAGUUGGUGAGGUAAAGGCUCACCAAGGCGACGAUCCGUAGCAGGUCUGAGAGGAUGAUCUGCCACACUGGAACUGAGACACGGUCCAGACUCCUACGGGGGGCAGCAGUGGGGAAUUUUGGACAAUGGGGGCAACCCUGAUCCAGCCAUGCCGCGUGAGUGAAGAAGGCCUUC
rnacentral:rRNA from 1 species